UCGUAACAAGGUUUCCGUAGGUGAACCUGCGGAAGGAUCAUUACCGAGUGCGGGCCCUCUGGGUCCAACCUCCCAUCCGUGUCUAUCUGUACCCUGUUGCUUCGGCGUGGCCACGGCCCGCCGAAGACUAACAUUUGAACACUGUCUGAAGUUUGCAGUCUGAGUUUUUAGUUAAACAAUAAUUAAAACUUUCAACAACGGAUCUCUUGGUUCCGGCAUCGAUGAAGAACGCAGCGAAAUGCGAUAAUUAAUGUGAAUUGCAGAAUUCAGUGAAUCAUCGAGUCUUUGAACGCACAUUGCGCCCCCUGGUAUUCCGGGGGGCAUGCCUGUCCGAGCGUCAUUGCUGCCCUCAAGCACGGCUUGUGUGUUGGGCUUCCGUCCCUGGUAACGGGGACGGGCCCAAAAGGCAGUGGCGGCACCAUGUCUGGUCCUCGAGCGUAUGGGGCUUUGUCACCCGCUCCCGUAGGUCCAGCUGGCAGCUAGCCUCGCAACCAAUCUUUUUAACCAGGUUGACCUCGGAUCAGGUAGGGAUACCCGCUGAACCUAAGCAUAUCA
rnacentral:misc_RNA from 1 species